rnacentral:rRNA from 1 species
UGGGGAAUUUUGCACAAUGGGCGCAAGCCUGAUGCAGCAACGCCGCGUGAGUGAAGAAGGCCCUUGGGUUGUAAAGCUCUUUCGGCUGGGAAGCAGGGACUGCCGGUAAAUAAUCUGCAGUUCUGACGGUACCAGAAGAAGAAGCGCCUGCUAACUACGUGCCAGCAGCAGCGGUAAUACGUAGGGCGCGAGCGUUGUUCGGAAUUACUGGGCGUAAAGCGCACGUAGGCGGGUUCGCAAGUCGGUUGUGAAAGCCCGAGGCUUAACUUCGGAAUUGCAGUCGAAACUGCGAAUCUUGAAUGCCUGAGAGGGUGGCGGAAUUCCUGGUGUAGAUGUGAAAUUCGUAGAUAUCAGGAGGAACACCGGAGGCGAAGGCGGCUGCCUGGUGGUGCAUUGACGCUGAGGUGCGAAAGCGCGGGGAGCAAACAGG